rnacentral:rRNA from 1 species
GACGAACGCUGGCGGCGUGCUUAACACAUGCAAGUCGAACGGAAAGGCCCUGCUUUUGUGGGGUGCUCGAGUGGCGAACGGGUGAGUAACACGUGAGUAACCUGCCCUUGACUUUGGGAUAACUUCAGGAAACUGGGGCUAAUACCGGAUAGGAGCUCCUGCUGCAUGGUGGUGGUUGGAAAGUUUCGGCGGUUGGGGAUGGACUCGCGGCUUAUCAGCUUGUUGGUGGGGUAGUGGCUUACCAAGGCUUUGACGGGUAGCCGGCCUGAGAGGGUGAACGGGCACAUUGGGACUGAGAUACGGCCCAGAAUCCUACGGGAGGCAGCAGUGGGGAAUAUUGCAGAAUGGGCGGAAGCCUGAUGCAGCAACGCCGCGUGCGGGAUAACGGCCUUCGGGUUGUAAACCGCUUUCGCCUGUGACGAAGCGUGAGUGACGGUAAUGGGUAAAGAAGCACCGGCUAACUACGUG